rnacentral:rRNA from 1 species
AGCAGCCGCGGUAAUUCGGGGAGGGCAAGCGUUGCCCGGAAUCACUGGGCUUAAAGGGGGUGUAGGCGGCCGGGUGUGUCGGACGUGUAAUCCAUCGGCUCAACCGGUGGGCUGCGUCCGAAACUACCCGGCUAGAGGGCGCCAGAGGGGAGCGGAACUCACGGUGUAGCGGUGAAAUGCGUGGAUAUCGUGGGGAACGCCAGUGGGGAAGCCGGCUCCCUGGGGCGACCCUGACGCUGAGGCCCGAAAGCUGGGGGAGCGAAGGGGAUUAGAUACCCCCGUAGUCCCAGCCGUAAACGAUGCGGGCUAGCCGUGGGUUCCCUUCGGGGAAUCCGUGGCGCAGGGAAACCGGUAAGCCCGCCGCCUGGGGAGUACGCCCGCAAGGGUGAAACUCAAAGGAAUUGACGGGGGGGCGCACAAGCGGUGGAGCGCGUGGUUCAAUUCGAUGCUAACCGAAGAACCUUACCCGGGCUUGACAUGCCGGUAGUAUCCCCCUCGAAAGAGGGGGAGAUCCCCCUUUGGGGGAAGCCGGCACAGGUGCUGCACGGCUGUCGUCAGCUCGUGCCGUGAGGUGUUGGGUUAAGUCCCGCAACGAGCGCAACCCCUGCCCUUAGUUGCCACAGCGGCUACGUGCCGGCUGGGCACUCUAAGGGGACUGCCCCCGAUGAGGGGGAGGAAGGUGGGGAUGACGUCAAGUCCGUGUGGCCUUUAUGCCCGGGGCUACACACGCGCUACAAUGGGUGGGACAGAGGGAAGCGACCCCGCAAGGGGGAGCAAAUCCCAAAACCCACCCCCAGUUCGGAUCGGGGUCUGCAACUCGACCCCGUGAAGCCGGAAUCGCUAGUAAUCGCCGGUCAGCAAUACGGCGGUGAAUACGUUCCCGCCCCUUGUACACACCGCCCGU